GACGAACGCUGGCGGCGUGCUUAACACAUGCAAGUCGAACGGAAAGGCCCUGCUUUUGUGGGGUGCUCGAGUGGCGAACGGGUGAGUAACACGUGAGUAACCUGCCCUUGACUUUGGGAUAACUUCAGGAAACUGGGGCUAAUACCGGAUAGGAGCUCCUGCUGCAUGGGGGGGGUUGGAAAGUUUCGGUGGAUGGGGAUGGACUCGCGGCUUAUCAGCUGGUUGGUGGGGUAGUGGCUUACCAAGGCUUUGACGGGUAGCCGGCCUGAGAGGGUGAACGGCGACAUUGGGACUGAGAUACGGCCCAGACUCCUACGGGAGGCAGCAGGGGGGAAUAUUGCACAAUGGGGGGAAGCCUGAUGCAGCAACGCCGCGUGCGGGAUGACGGCCUUCGGGUUGUAAACCGCUUUCGCCUGUGACGAAGCGUGAGUGACGGUAAUGGGUAAAGAAGCACCGGCUAACUACGUG
rnacentral:rRNA from 1 species